GGGUCUUUUCUGUCGGCUGUGCGGGAGGCUGACACCCGCACACACGGGCACAACUGACCUUAGAAUUUGUCCAGCAGUGAUUUGCUCUGGAUGGAGCUCGGAACAACAAACAGCUCUUGAACUCACCUCCCAGCCUGAAAAGAAUGCACCAUGUCACACUGUGGUGGAAGCUACAAAUACCUUAUUUUAAAACUCCCUAAGGACCCUCAGAUGCAUACCCAUACUUCCAAAGGUCAAUUCUUCAAAGAUAAGAAGCCCAUGAAUCUGAGUUUCAAAAGAUAAUAUUAUAUAGUGGUUGAGAAUACAUGCUCCAUAUUUACUGGGACCUGGAUUUGAAUUCCAGCUCCACCAUCCACUUACCCGUGUGGGCUCUGGGCCAAAGGACUUCUCUUCAAAGUCUUAGUUUACUCAACCCAAAGUAGAGAUUCACAGGAUUAUGAGAUGAAAGGAUCUAAUACAUUUAAGGAUCAAUAGAUGGAAUUUGUCCUGUUUUGGGGAGUUGAAAUCAUUUAGACUAGCUUGAGGGAAGAUGAUGGAAAGACAGACACGCAGGGAAGAAUGCCAUGUGAAGAGAUGCAGAGAUUGAUGUUCUGCAGCUGUGAGCCGAGGAAUGCUGAGAAUUGCUGACA